GGCUAUGAUAUGUGAGAGUGGAGAAUGGGGUGGGUGGGUGGAGCACAUGCCAGAUAAGGAUCUAUCAGCAAUGGGAGGGGGCCUCCACUUUAGCAUCUCCACCCUGUUCCUCUCAGAGGACCACAUUUCAUUGCAUUCAGCUGUGAUGGUAGCAAGAACACAGGCACCCUGAGGACGAGGAGUGCGGGAGCCUUGUGCUUUCUCUGCAUAUGAGGCAGGACAGCACAGGGUACAGAGCAGUCUGCAGAGAGGCCAGCUCAUCAGGGAAGCACUUGUCUUCCACCUUGGGCUUUGACUCAGCACUGGGCAAUUGGCCCCUGGGGAUCAACGGUAUAAUCCUUAGCAGAGUGACUCUAUGUCACACUAUGGAAUGUUCCAAGUAGGUGGCCAUGUUUUCAGAAGAUGUCUUUUCCUCCUUUUGUUGUUGCCAUUUCAUAGGUUUAGGUUUGGGUGUAUGUUUCUCCUCUCUGAAUGGCACUCGAAUGUUUGCUGACCCUUACUCUGUGUGACUGGGGCGUACAGCUAUGGACUGAGUAUGAAAGAUGAUCAAAGAUCUUUCAUGAUCAAAGCAGUCUCUUCUUUUCUGACAGCUGAAGAAGCAUCUGUAGGGAAUCCAGAAGGAGCGUUCAUGAAGGUGUUACAAGCCCGGAAGCAGCACACGAGCACUAAGCUGACUAUUGAGUCGGAGGCGCCCUCAGACAGCAGUGGCAUCAAGUUGUCAGGCUUUGGGAGUGAUCAGUUUGAAAUUCAGCUAACCCAGGAGCUACGGUCCCUCAUCCCCAACGAGGAUGUGAGAAGGUUCAUGUCUCAUAUUAUCCGGACCUUGAAAAUGGAAUGUUCACAAAUGCAUGUGCAAGUGACCUGUGCCAAGCUCAUGUCGCGAACAGGACUCCUGAUGAAACUUCUCAGCGAGCAGCAGGAAGCAAAGCCAUCAAAGGCAGAGUGGGAUAUGGACCACCAGAAAUCUAAUUAUAUUAAUGAGAACAUGGAACAGAGUGAACAGAAACAGCAGAAGUCAAGUGAGCUCAUGAAAGAGGUUCCAGGAUAUGGCUAUAACAACAAACUCAUCUUGGCAAUAUCUGUGACUGUAAUACUAACAAUUUUGAUUAUAAUUUUUUGUCUUAUUGAGAUUCAUUCGCACAAAAGGGCAUCAGAGGAAGAUAAAGAAGAUCCAUCAGUGUCAGGCCCCUGAGCCCAAGUUAAGGCAUCUGGAUGGCCUGGAGCCAUGUUUUUAAAAUUUUAUUAUUAAAUAUUGUUUUUUUUAACUGGUUAAAUCAAUGAAAA
rnacentral:sRNA from 1 species